UCGUAGCCCCUGCAAGUGCCUUUGCAAACUGGCAAGUUAACAGCCAGAUAAAAAGACUCAUGGCCGAGCACGUAACGCAGUAACCAGCCCCACAUUUUGUGAGAGUAGCACAACAUGGGAAAUACAACAGGCAGUUUAUAGGUUCAGCUACCUUGCAAAGUUCUGAAGUUCGCCAUACAGAAGAAGUUUCCUGACUGAAACAAACUCUUAAAAAAUAUCCUUUGGCUUUUGUAAGAAAAACUGAUUUCCUGAUUGACCCUAAAGACACAGUACCAGAUAAAUCCAGCACUGCAAAAAA